rnacentral:rRNA from 1 species
AUGCUCUCUCAUGCUGCUAGGCUUGAGCUCAUUAGGUCUGUGUUCUCUGCUAUUCCUGUGUACUACAUGUCUAAUAUUUUGUUUACCAAGAAGUUUAUAGCCAAACUCACUGCAAGGAACUUUUGGUGGACAGGAAUCAGACAGAAUAAUUCUAACAAGAGCCUUUGUCUUAGGGCUUGGAAGGACAUUUGCAAUUCCAAACAGGAAGGUGGUCUUGGCAUUAGGAACUUGCAAGCAAUUAAUGAGGGCUUACUUCUUGCAGCUGCUUGGAGGCUUGCUGAAGACCCUUCCUCCCACCUUCAUCUUGUGCUCAAAUCUAAAUACUUCCAUGAUGCCUCUAUUUGGACUGCUAUUUCUACUACUCCAAAAUCUGCUUUCUGGUCAUCCAUUUUAAAAAUGUUGCCUAAACUGAAAGAUCACUCUUUUUACCAACUCACGCAAGGGAAUAUCUCUCUUUGGAGUACCCCUUGGUGUUCCCUUUGGGCUUCUGUUCACGACAAUCUUAUUAUUCAGCCUUCAGGAUACAUAUAUCCUUCUCUUGUUAAGGACCUUUGGAUACCGGGUCAGAAAAUCUGGAACAAUGACCUCAUUAACUCUCUCUUUCAACAGCCUCUAGCCUCUGUUAUCGUUCAAACUGACAUUAUUCACCAAGAUUGCCCGGAUAUAUCAUGUUGGGAUCUAACUCCUAAUGGUACUUGUUCUUCCAAGUCCACUUAUAAAUUGUGUUUGCAGGAUAUUCAUGCCAAUCCAAGAAAUACUCCUUCCCAAGUUUUUUUGCAGAUGAAAAAUCUUCUCAAGUUGAUUUGGAAGCAAAAGUUGAUGAUCCCCAGAGUUCAAACUUUCGCUUGGAGACUCCUUUGGAAAGCUCUUCCCACAGGUUUAAGGGUUGGGCGCUUUUCCGUACAUAUUUCUCAAUAUUGUUGCAGAUGUGGUCAGCAAGAGGAUGAGGUUCACAUGUUUUUUCUUUGUGACUUCGCUAGAGCUGCUUGGUUUUCUCAUCCUUGGUUCAUCAGAACAGAUGCUUUAGUUCAGAUCUAUACCAAUAUCCAUAGUAUUAUUCUUGCUUUACUUAAUAUGAACCAUCCGCAUGCUUCUGUUGUCAACAUUCUAAAUUUUAUGUGGUGUCUUUGGAAAGCGAGGAAUGAUUAUCUUUUUAAUAGAAAGAAAGCUACCCCUCACCAAGUUAAUAUUGCUGCUACUUCUCUAUCUAAUGAUUUCUGUGAUCUGCUUAACAGUUCUUCACACCAUCAGCCUCAAAACUCCAGUUGUAUCUUAACCCAUACUAAUCAACUUCCCUUGCAGGGACAAACGCUUAAAUCAGAUCUUCUUAUCACGGGACCGAAAGUAUAUACUGAUGCAUCUUUUAAGUGCAAAAAAAUUCCAGGUUUAUUGCAGGGAACAGCAGCCACUGGAGUUGGUAUCUACAUUUCUUUGCCGCACGAUCAGAAGGAAGUCAGCGUGCAGAUUCAAGCUUCCACCUCAAUUACAAGUACUCCUCUGCAGGCUGAAGCGUUUGCUCUUCUCUUGGCUGCAAAAGUAGCUAAAUGUCUCAACAUCAGCCAGCCGACCUUCCUCACAGACUGUCUCUCUUUGGCUUCAUUUACGGCUAGUAGAAAGAUUACUGAAACUGCUACCCCUUGGACUAUCAGGAAAGUUUUAGCUGAUUUCUUCUGCUACUCUUCAGACCUUCAACCUAGAGUGUUCCAUAUUUCUAGGGAAAUUAAUGGAAUUGCUCACAACGUCGCUCAUCAGGUUCUUACAUCAAAUGUAGAACCUGACAUAUGUUGUUUUGCUUCGGCUCACAGGGACAUGGCUUGCCCUGUAGUUUCUCUCCUCUAA